GUCGAACGGGGUAGCAAUACCCAGUGGCAGACGGGUGAGUAACACGUGGUCAACCUGCCUUCGCGAGGGGGAUAACUAGCCGAAAGGUUAGCUAAUACCGCAUACGAUCGUUUUGAGGCAUCUCAGAACGAUGAAAGGAGCAAUCCGGCGCGAAGAGGGGACUGCGUCCCAUUAGUUAGUUGGUGGGGUAAUGGCCUACCAAGACUCCGAUGGGUAGCUGGCUUGAGAGAGCGACCAGCCACACUGGAACUGAGAAACGGUCCAGACUCCUACGGGAGGCAGCAGUGAGGAAUUUUCCGCAAUGGGCGAAAGCCUGACGGAGCGACGUCGCGUGUGGGAAGAAGGCCUUCGGGUCGUAAACCACUGUCGAAGGGGACGAUAAUGACGGUACCCUUGGAGGAAGCCCCGGCUAACUACGUGCCAGCACCGG
rnacentral:rRNA from 1 species